rnacentral:sRNA from 1 species
GUGCAUUUCGAUGAUUUGGGACCAAAUAUCAUAGUUGGUUUCAUUGAGGAUUAUACCAGCAUUAAACCCAGAAUUCUCGGUUUGUAC